rnacentral:rRNA from 1 species
GAUUGAACGCUGGCGGCAGGCCUAACCCAUGCAAGUCGAGCGGAUGACGGGAGCUUGCUCCUGGAUUCAGCGGCGGACGGGUGAGUAAUGCCUAGGAAUCUGCCUGGUAGUGGGGGAUAACGUCCGGAAACGGGCGCUAAUACCGCAUACGUCCUGAGGGAGAAAGUGGGGGAUCUUCGGACCUCACGCUAUCAGAUGAGCCUAGGUCGGAUUAGCUAGUUGGUGGGGUAAAGGCCUACCAAGGCGACGAUCCGUAACUGGUCUGAGAGGAUGAUCAGUCACACUGGAACUGAGACACGGUCCAGACUCCUACGGGAGGCAGCAGUGGGGAAUAUUGGACAAUGGGCGAAAGCCUGAUCCAGCCAUGCCGCGGGUGUGAAGAAGGUCUUCGGAUUGUAAAGCACUUUAAGUUGGGAGGAAGGGCAGUAAGUUAAUACCUUGCUGUUUUGACGUUACCAACAGAAUAAGCACCGGCUAACUUCGU